ACGCCCCGGCCAAUCUCCAGCAGACCCUCCCUCCCAGACCCUCCUACUUCCUGGACAGCAUCCAUGUUGAAACAUGGAUGCUGUCCAGGAAGUAGGAGGGUCUGGGAGGGAGGGUCUUCUGGAGAUUUUGUUGAAACA